GCAGCAGCAGCCGCGGUAAUACGAAGGGUGCAAGCGUUACUCGGAAUUACUGGGCGUAAAGCGUGCGUAGGUGGUGGUUUAAGUCCGUUGUGAAAGCCCUGGGCUCAACCUGGGAAUUGCAGUGGAUACUGGGUCACUAGAGUGUGGUAGAGGAUAGUGGAAUUUCCGGUGUAGCAGUGAAAUGCGUAGAGAUCGGAAGGAACAUCUGUGGCGAAGGCGACUAUCUGGGCCAACACUGACACUGAGGCACGAAAGCGUGGGGAGCAAACAGGAUUAGAUACCCCAGUAGUCCCUGUCUCUUAUAC
rnacentral:rRNA from 1 species